rnacentral:rRNA from 1 species
CCUACGGGGGGCAGCAGUGGGGAAUAUUGGACAAUGGGCGCAAGCCUGAUCCAGCAAUGCCGCGUGUGUGAAGAAGGCCUGCGGGUUGUAAAGCACUUUCAGUGGGGAGGAAGGCCUCGAUAUUAAUACUAUUGAGGAUUGACGUUACCCACAGAAGAAGCACCGGCUAACUCUGUGCCAGCAGCCGCGGUAAUACAGAGGGUGCAAGCGUUAAUCAGAAUUACUGUGGGUGGAGGGUUCGUACAGGGGUGAAAGCCCCGGGCUCAACCUGGGAAUUGCAUUUGAUACUGGGUAACUUGAGUAUGGUAGAGGGAAGUGGAAUUUCCAGUGUAGCGGUGAAAUGCGUAGAUAUUGGAAGGAACAUCAGUGGCGAAGGCGACUUCCUGGACCAUUACUGACACUGAGGCACGAAAGCGUGGGGAGCGAACAGGAUUAGAUACCCCAGUAGUC